UACGUAGGCAGCGAGCGUUGUUCGGAGUUACUGGGCGUAAAGGGUGUGUAGGCGGUUGUUUAAGUUUGGUGUGAAAUCUCCCGGCUCAACUGGGAGGGUGCGCCGAAUACUGAAUGACUAGAGUGCGGGAGAGGAAAGUGGAAUUCCUGGUGUAGCAGUGAAAUGCGUAGUGAUCAUGAGGAAGACCAGUGGCGAAGGCGGGUCUCUGGACAGUUCCUGACACUGAGGCACGAAGGCCAGGGGAGCAAACGGG
rnacentral:rRNA from 1 species